GAUGAACGCUGGCGGCGUGCCUAAUACAUGCAAGUCGAGCGAACGGACGAGAAGCUUGCUUCUCUGAUGUUAGCGGCGGACGGGUGAGUAACACGUGGAUAACCUACCUAUAAGACUGGGAUAACUUCGGGAAACCGGAGCUAAUACCGGAUAAUAUUUUGAACCGCAUGGUUCAAAAGUGAAAGACGGUCUUGCUGUCACUUAUAGAUGGAUCCGCGCUGCAUUAGCUAGUUGGUAAGGUAACGGCUUACCAAGGCAACGAUGCAUAGCCGACCUGAGAGGGUGAUCGGCCACACUGGAACUGAGACACGGUCCAGACUCCUACGGGAGGCAGCAGUAGGGAAUCUUCCGCAAUGGGCGAAAGCCUGACGGAGCAACGCCGCGUGAGUGAUGAAGGUCUUCGGAUCGUAAAACUCUGUUAUUAGGGAAGAACAUAUGUGUAAGUAACUGUGCACAUCUUGACGGUACCUAAUCAGAAAGCCACGGCUAACUACGUGCCAGCAGCCGCGGUAAUACGUAGGUGGCAAGCGUUAUCCGGAAUUAUUGGGCGUAAAGCGCGCGUAGGCGGUUUUUUAAGUCUGAUGUGAAAGCCCACGGCUCAACCGUGGAGGGUCAUUGGAAACUGGAAAACUUGAGUGCAGAAGAGGAAAGUGGAAUUCCAUGUGUAGCGGUGAAAUGCGCAGAGAUAUGGAGGAACACCAGUGGCGAAGGCGACUUUCUGGUCUGUAACUGACGCUGAUGUGCGAAAGCGUGGGGAUCAAACAGGAUUAGAUACCCUGGUAGUCCACGCCGUAAACGAUGAGUGCUAAGUGUUAGGGGGUUUCCGCCCCUUAGUGCUGCAGCUAACGCAUUAAGCACUCCGCCUGGGGAGUACGACCGCAAGGUUGAAACUCAAAGGAAUUGACGGGGACCCGCACAAGCGGUGGAGCAUGUGGUUUAAUUCGAAGCAACGCGAAGAACCUUACCAAAUCUUGACAUCCUUUGACAACUCUAGAGAUAGAGCUUUCCCCUUCGGGGGACAAAGUGACAGGUGGUGCAUGGUUGUCGUCAGCUCGUGUCGUGAGAUGUUGGGUUAAGUCCCGCAACGAGCGCAACCCUUAAGCUUAGUUGCCAUCAUUAAGUUGGGCACUCUAAGUUGACUGCCGGUGACAAACCGGAGGAAGGUGGGGAUGACGUCAAAUCAUCAUGCCCCUUAUGAUUUGGGCUACACACGUGCUACAAUGGACAAUACAAAGGGCAGCGAAACCGUGAGGUCAAGCAAAUCCCAUAAAGUUGUUCUCAGUUCGGAUUGUAGUCUGCAACUCGACUACAUGAAGCUGGAAUCGCUAGUAAUCGUAGAUCGGCAUGCUACGGUGAAUACGUUCCCGGGUCU
rnacentral:rRNA from 1 species